GACGAACGCUGGCGGCGUGCCUAAUACAUGCAAGUUGAGCGCUGAAGGUUGGUACUUGUACCGACUGGAUGAGCAGCGAACGGGUGAGUAACGCGUGGGGAAUCUGCCUUUGAGCGGGGUACAACAUUUGGAAACGAAUGCUAAUACCGCAUAAAAACUUUAAACACAAGUUUUAAGUUUGAAAGAUGCAAUUGCAUCACUCAAAGAUGAUCCCGCGUUGUAUUAGCUAGUUGGUGAGGUAAAGGCUCACCAAGGCGAUGAUACAUAGCCGACCUGAGAGGGUGAUCGGCCACAUUGGGACUGAGACACGGCCCAAACUCCUACGGGAGGCAGCUGUAGGGAAUCUUCGGCAAUGGACGAAAGUCUGACCGAGCAACGCCGCGUGAGGGAAGAAGGUUGUCGGAUCGUAAAACUCGGUUGGUAGAGAAGAACGUUGGUGAGAGUGGAAAGCUCAUCAAGUGACGGUAACUACCCAGAAAGGGACGGCUAACUACGUG
rnacentral:rRNA from 1 species